rnacentral:rRNA from 1 species
AACGAACGCUGGCGGCGUACUUAACACAUGCAAGUCGGACGAGAAAGGGGAUUUCGGUCCCUGAGUAUAGAGGCGCACGGGUGCGUAACACGUAAGCAAUCUACCCCGAACUCUGGGAUAACCCUCCGAAAGGAGGGCUAACACCGGAUAGGGUCCUCGAGGUAUAGGCCGCGGGGGGAAAACGGGCCUCUGUUUCAUGCUCGUGGUUCGGGAUGAGCUUGCGGCCCAUUAGCUAGUUGGUAGGGUAAUGGCCUACCAAGGCAACGAUGGGUAGCUGGUCUGAGAGGAUGAUCAGCCACACUGGCACUGAGACACGGGCCAGACUCCUACGGGAGGCAGCAGUGGGGAAUUUUGCGCAAUGGGCGAAAGCCUGACGCAGUAACGCCGCGUGGAGGAUGAAGGCCUUCGGGUUGUAAACUCCUGUCAGGAGGAACGACGGGGAGAGGGUGAUAAAUCCUUUCCUUCAGACGGUACCUCCAAAGGAAGCCCCGGCUAAUUCCGUGC